GCGACCAAUGAUGAGAUCUGAUGGCGUCUGAGUGUUUCUCAAUGACAGCCACGUGAACAGAUACUGAGGUCAGG